AAAGGGGCCCCGCCGUCGCGGGAGGAGCCGCCCCGGUGCCGGCAACAUGGCAGCGUCCAGCCGUGCCCAGGUGCUGCGGCUGUACCGCGCCCUGCUGCGGGAGAGCCAGCGCUUCAGCGGCUACAACUACAGAACGUAUGCCAUCAGAAGGAUAAGAGAUGCCUUCAGAGAAAACAAGAAUAUAAAGGAUUCUGAAAAAAUAGAAGAACUAGUGAACAAAGCCAAAGCAAACCUAGAGGUUGUUCGUCGGCAGGCUACAUGACAUUCUUCGUUGUCAAAAGACUGACUCUUUGCUCCCCUAUGACAUGCUGAUAUUUAGCAUACUAGUGAGACUCUGAAUUCUUAUAGACCCAGUUAUGGAAAGUCAGGAAGAAUCUUGCUCAUACUUCGUGGGAGAAAAUACUGCUUUGGGAAUAGAUAAACACUGGAAUUUCAAUCAACAUCAUGAAUUUUUCUGAAAACCUUUGCAGGGUUACUAUUGGCCAACUGUACUCCACGCAGAAAUUGGUUAUUGAGAGUCCAGGAAACACAUAGCUAUGAGAAGCCUAUGAUCCUGAAGCAACACUGGACCAUCUUCAGCAUCCUACAGUGCCACAUACAGAAGCAUAAAUUCACUGCACACAUCUGAGCUUUUCUGUUCGGCAGAAGAAAUGCCUGAGAGACUCAGUUUUUGGCAACCAAAGUACUAUUUUCUAGUGGUUCACACGUUCUAAGAUAUAUGGCUGUGAUUUAAAAUAGCAUGUAAGAUAGUCUUGAAAUGUGUUUGCUUGUAUGUUCCAUGUGAUGGAAUAGUUCCUGCCCUACUUUGACAAUAAAACUUCAUUAAACUACCUGUAACCAGAUACGUUA